AAGACCUUGCGCUUUUGGAGCGGCCGAUGCCUGAUUAGCUAGUUGGUGGGGUAAUGGCCUACCAAAGCUUCGAUCAGUAGCUGGUCUGAGAGGACGGCCAGCCACACUGGGACUGAGACACGGCCCAGACUCCUACGGGAGGCAGCAGUGGGGAAUUUUGGACAAUGGGCGCAAGCCCGAUCCAGCCAUGCCGCGUGAGUGAAGAAGGCCUUCGGGUUGUAAAGCUCUUUCAGCCGGGAAGAAAAGGUUGCGAUUAAUAAUCGCAAUUUAUGACGGUACCGGAAGAAGAAGCACCGGCUAACUACGUGCCAGCAGCCGCGGUAAUACGUAGGGUGCGAGCGUUAAUCGGAAUUACUGGGCGUAAAGGGUGCGCAGGCGGUUUUGUAAGUCAGAUGUGAAAUCCCCGGGCUUAACCUGGGAACU
rnacentral:rRNA from 1 species